UGAGGAGGAUGUGGAGAAGAAAGGAAAUUCAUCGGGAGGAAGAGAAGGAAAACAAAAAGAAAAAUGAAAGAGAAAGAAAGAAAGAAGACGAAGGAAAGGAGAGGCGGAAAAAAGAAAGAACAGAGGGGAGGAAAAAAAAAAAAAAGACAACUUUUUGAGACUGGAAUUAAAACCGAGCCACCUCCGCUCCUCCUUUGCUGCGGCGCUGGGGAUGCCGUUGACUCCACCAGACAGUGGCUUCCCCUGCUGUGAUGCCCCACUCGUUUCCUGGGCAGCCAAGAGCAAUGCUUGAGUCCUGGUGGAAGUUCAUUCAGAAUUGCCUGGAGCGGAGGCUGGAGAGGAAAACCACAACCACAGCAGAGCCUGGACACGGGGAGCUGCUAGCAGGACCCAUCUCAGGGACAGUCACUGUGUGUACCUUCCUCCAUCCUCCUCCUGCUCCCAGCAGCUGAUGGCCUGGAGCAGCACAGAGCAGGCCUGGCAUCGGGCUAUAGGGACACCAGGAGCACCCCGGGGAUAGGACCCAACACCAUGCCACACUGGUGGAGAACACAAAGCUGGAAGAGGGGAAAAAAAAAAAUCAACAGAAGAAGAAGAAAAGAAUGGAAACGAAAGUCUCCAAACUCAGGAGAUCUGUGUUAAUUGCUUACGAACGUCUCCAUCCCAAAAGUUAUCCGAUUGAUGUUGUCGUGCUUUUUUUUUGACAGCCUGUCUGUUAUGUAUUUUUUUUUAAAUAUUCAUGCACCGAAAUCUAAUUACUAGGCAAAUUUAAUGAUAAUGAAAUGAAGGCACUUUAGCAGAAAGCAUAGGGCCUUGUUAAUAUUUUCUCAGUCUCUGUCUUGCUCACAUUUUUUUUUUCACCGCCGCCUUUCUUGCAGUAUAAAAGAAUUGCCAAAAAUAAAACUUGGAUUGCUG
rnacentral:lncRNA from 1 species